rnacentral:rRNA from 1 species
AGUGAACGCUGGCGGUAGGCCUAACACAUGCAAGUCGAACGGCAGCACAGGAGAGCUUGCUCUCUGGGUGGCGAGUGGCGGACGGGUGAGGAAUACAUCGGAAUCUACUCUGUCGUGGGGGAUAACGCAGGGAAACUUACGCUAAUACCGCAUACGACCUACGGGUGAAAGCAGGGGACCUUCGGGCCUUGCGCGAUUGAAUGAGCCGGUGUCGGAUUAGCUAGUUGGCGGGGUAAAGGCCCACCAAGGCGACGAUCCGUAGCUGGUCUGAGGGGCGGAACAGCCACACUGGAACUGAGACACGGUCCAGACUCCUACGGGGGGCAGCAGUGGGAAAUAUUGGACAAUGGGCGAAAGCCUGAUCCAGCCAUACCGCGUGGGUGAAGAAGGCCUUCGGGUUGUAAAGCCCUUUUGUUGGGAAAGAAAUCCAGCUGGCUAAUACCCGGUUGGGAUGACGGUACCCAAAGAAUAAGCACCGGCUAACUUCGUGCCAGCAGCCGCCGUAA